rnacentral:rRNA from 1 species
UGGGGAAUAUUGGACAAUGGACCAAGAGUCUGAUCCAGCAAUUCUGUGUGCACGAUGAAGUUUUUCGGAAUGUAAAGUGCUUUCAGUUGGGAAGAAAGAAAUGACGGUACCAACAGAAGAAGUGACGGCUAAAUACGUGCCAGCAGCCGCGGUAAUACGUAUGUCACGAGCGUUAUCCGGAUUUAUUGGGCGUAAAGCGCGUCUAGGUGGUUAUGUAAGUCUGAUGUGAAAAUGCAGGGCUCAACUCUGUAUUGCGUUGGAAACUGUAUAACUAGAGUACUGGAGAGGUAAGCGGAACUACAAGUGUAGAGGUGAAAUUCGUAGAUAUUUGUAGGAAUGCCGAUGGGGAAGCCAGCUUACUGGACAGAUACUGACGCUGAAGCGCGAAAGCGUGGGUAGCAAACAGGAUUAGAUACCCUGGUAGUCCACGCCGUAAACGAUGAUUACUAGGUGUUGGGGGUCGAACCUCAGCGCCCAAGCAAACGCGAUAAGUAAUCCGCCUGGGGAGUACGUACGCAGGUAUG